UGGGGAAUUUUGCGCAAUGGGGGAAACCCUGACGCAGCAACGCCGCGUGAGUGAUGAAGGCCUUCGGGUCGUAAAGCUCUGUCAGAGGGGAAGAAAUACAGGGGUGCUAAUAUCAUCUUUGCUUGACGGUACCCUCAAAGGAAGCACCGGCUAACUCCGUGCCAGCAGCCGCGGUAAUACGGAGGGUGCGAGCGUUGUUCGGAAUUAUUGGGCGUAAAGCGCGCGUAGGCGGUUUGGUAAGUCUGAUGUGAAAGCCCCGGGCUCAACCUGGGAAGUGCAUUGGAAACUGUCAGACUUGAAUACGGGAGAGGGUAGUGGAAUUCCUAGUGUAGGAGUGAAAUCCGUAGAUAUUAGGAGGAACACCGGUGGCGAAGGCGGCUACCUGGACCGAUAUUGACGCUGAGACGCGAAGGCGUGAGGAGCAAACAG
rnacentral:rRNA from 1 species